rnacentral:misc_RNA from 1 species
GAUGAAGAACGUAGCGAAAUGCGAUACGUAAUGUGAAUUGCAGAAUUCAGUGAAUCAUCGAAUCUUUGAACGCAUAUUGCGCUCUCUGGUAUUCCGGAGAGCAUGCUUGUUUGAGUAUCAGUAAACACCUCAACUCCCUUUUCUUUUUUGAAAUUGGAGCUGGACUUGAGUGAUCCCAACGCUUUCUUCCAAGAAAGUGGCGGGUUGCUUGAAAUGGAGGUGCAGCUGAACUUUUCUCUGAGCUAUAAGCAUAUCUAUUUAGUCUGCCUAAAAAACAGAUUAUUACCUGUGCUGCAGCUAACAUAAAGGAGACUAGUUCUUGUGCUGACUGAUGCAGGAUUCACAGAGACAGCUUCGGCUGACUUUGUAAACUCGAUCUCAAAUCAAGUAAGACUACCCGCUGAACUUAAGCAUAUCAAUAAGCGGAGGA